rnacentral:rRNA from 1 species
AGUGAACGCUGGCGGUAGGCCUAACACAUGCAAGUCGAACGGCAGCACAGUAAGAGCUUGCUCUUACGGGUGGCGAGUGGCGGACGGGUGAGGAAUACAUCGGAAUCUACUUUUUCGUGGGGGAUAACGUAGGGAAACUUACGCUAAUACCGCAUACGACCUACGGGUGAAAGCAGGGGAUCUUCGGACCUUGCGCGAUUGAAUGAGCCGAUGUCGGAUUAGCUAGUUGGCGGGGUAAAGGCCCACCAAGGCGACGAUCCGUAGCUGGUCUGAGAGGAUGAUCAGCCACACUGGAACUGAGACACGGUCCAGACUCCUAAGGGAGGCAGCAGUGGGGAAUAUUGGACAAUGGGCGCAAGCCUGAUCCAGCCAUACCGCGUGGGUGAAGAAGGCCUUCGGGUUGUAAAGACCUUUUGUCGGGAAAGAAAAGCAGCAGGUUAAUAACCCGCUGUUCUGACGGUACCCAAAGAAUAAGCACCGGCUAACUUCGUG